UCACUUCUAGCUAAGACAUCUAUUCACCUCUUUAGAUGUGCAUUUAUACAUAAUUACGGCCACCCAAAAAAAAGAAGUAUAAUUAAAAUCACAAACCCUAGCUCAUGCAGUAUAUAGUUCUGCUUGCUGUUUAAGAGCCAUUUAAGGUAAAAUAUAUAUGAUGAGUUUCAGUUUUUUUUUUGAAUGGAAAAGAGAAAAG
rnacentral:lncRNA from 1 species